CGGGUGGCUGAGAAAGCCGAGAAGGCACGGAAGCGCAGGGUGAGGAGCGAGCUGCGGCGGCGGCUGGCUGGGGAGCUCGACCAGGUCCGCGUGCUCUCCGAGCGCCUCAAGGAGGCUGCCGAGACUCUGACACAGCAGGAGGCUUCCAUGCCGGCACCUUUGCCCCUGGUGGUAGUGCCGCAGCAGCAGGUGGUGGAUGCUCGGUACAUGCAGUCUCAGUUCUCAGCUGGUGAUAUGGUGACGCCCAUGUCUGCGCAGCUCACUACUGCGGUUCUGCCCGUCCGCUCGCUGCUGCAGCGCAGGCCACUAAUCGUGUCGGUAUUUCAUAAUGAAGCAUUUGAGAAGGAGAAACGGACGCCUAAGGCUAAUCAAUUGUACCAGAACUCCGAGUUUUUGCUUGCCAAGGAUAGGAUCCCGCCCUCAGAUUCACAGGGGCGCAAGAAAUCCAAACACCACAAGAAGAAGCACAGGUCCCUAGAAUCUCAUGGCGCAGAUUUUGAUGCCGAGCGGAGGUUAUACUCUCAGGCAUUCAAGAAGUCCUCAUCUCUUCUGAGCCGGCUAAUGAAGCAUAAGUUUGGGUGGGUUUUCAACAAGCCCGUCGAUCCAGUUGCACUUGGUUUGCAUGACUAUUUUACAAUUAUUAAGCACCCAAUGGAUCUUGGCACGAUAAGGGGGUGGCUCAGCCAGGGGCAGUACAGGAAUCCAAAAGAGUUUGCUGACGAUGUGCGGCUCACUUUCCAUAAUGCAAUGACAUAUAACCCCAAGGGGCAGGAUGUGCAUUUCAUGGCAGAGCAGUUGUUAGAAAUCUUUGAGGCCCAGUGGCCUGAGAUUGAGGCUGAGGUUAACUAUCUCGCAUCAUGUCCUCCAUUGCCAAAGAAGUUUCCACCUCCACCGAUUGACCUGCGCUUCCUAGAGAGGUCUGAUUCCAUGAGACACCACAUGGCGUUGGACUCGUCAAGGCCAAUCAGUCAUACUCCCACUUAUAGCCGGACUCCAUCGAUGAAGAAACCAAGGGCAAAGGAUCCAAAUAAAAGGGACAUGACAAUAGAUGAGAAGCGUAAGCUUAGUGAGAACCUCCAGAAUUUGCCUCCAGAGAAGCUUGACGCUGUUGUACAAGUCAUUAAGAACAAGAAUCUUUCAGUUAGGCAGCAUGAGGAUGAGAUUGAGGUUGAAAUCGAUAGCAUGGAUGCUGAGACACUUUGGGAGCUUGACAGGUUUGUUGCUAACUACAAGAAGAACCUGAGCAAGAAAAAGAGAAAGGCUGAGCGUGCAAUGCUUGCCAGACAAGAUGCUGAGUUGCGCGCACAGCACUCCGUACAGCAACCACAGCCAUUUCAUCCUUUGCAGAUCCAGUUCAACCAAGAACCCAAUGUUGGUGAAAAAUCUCCGAAGCAAGUUGAGAAAGACUCAGACAGUGAUAGCUCCUCUUCAGAUGGAUCUGGUGCUGGCAAUUCUUCUUGAUAGAUUAGGAGGUAAUGUUCAGCUCCAAGUCCAUUUGAUUGACGAUACUGUGAAGUCGGUACAUCUUGAUCCCGAUAAGAGUUUGUCGAUGCACCUGACGUUGGCAUCAUGGUCCUGCCCAGUUUUAUGUUCUGGAGUGUUUGCUUGGAAGAUAUAUGAUGGUCGAGCUUUGAUGGGUGGGUAGCAGGGAGGCUCCUUGCCCCCAUCAUGAUGGUUUGUUGGUACACUCGAGUCUGGGAUGGCUACUCGUUUCAGAUAAUAUGCUGUUGCGCCAUUGUGAUGUUGCUUUGGUCAUUGAGUUAGCUGGACUGGCGAUAUGAGCUUGCAGGAACUGUUGGUGUGAUGAAUAUGCGUGAAGGCUGGACUGCGACCGUAAAUAUCUCAGGCUGUUGCUCUUGCGGGGCAAUGUCGGCUCCAGAGCCCUGACAGAAGCGGGGACGACGAUGUAUUUGGAUCCAGGUUCGAAGCCAGCCAACACGAUUCGUCUCUCUAUGGUCUAUGCUAAGAAGAUAAUGCCCUAGCUUGCUAGCUACUUUGCUACCGUACAUGCGCAUCAGACGCAAAUCAACAAGCCCUGCUACAUUUUCCUCUCCAGGAAGGCAAGAACGUGGUGCCACCAUCAUUGGUGUUAUAGAUGCAUGGUAAAUGAAUAUAAUGAACAGCAUUGGUGUUCAGGCCACAGCAGUAUAUCUCAUCGUGGAUAACUUGCAGACAACAACAUUUCCUCUUCCAUGGUGUACUGCCUGCUUGUUUCCGCAGCGAGCCCUCCCAGUGACAUGUUUUCAAGUGUCAUCUCAACUUCCCUCAUUGUGGGCCGAUCUUCUCCAUUCAGUUUUGUACACAUUGCUGCUAGUGUGGCAACUUCAUCAACUUGUUCAGCAUCCUCUUCAAUGAUUUGAGGAUCAAUUAUGUCAGCCAGGCUACCUUCAGCGAGUAGUGAUGCAAAAUGUGAAACAAGACUGCCACCAUCAUUGGUCCGAAAGACAAAUGGUUUCUUUCUUGUAAGCAAUUCUAUAAGAAGAACACCGAAACUAAAAACAUCGCUCUUGUCUGUGAGUCGACAUGUAUAAUAAUACAUGGGAUCUAAGUAGCCAAUGGUUCCUUGGACGACUGUGGUCACUCCAGUUUGAUCGAUCUGGAUAUACUUUGAAGCUCCAAAGUCUGAUACCUUUGCUGUUAAA